rnacentral:rRNA from 1 species
UACGUAGGGCGCAAGCGUUGUCCGGAAUUAUUGGGCGUAAAGAGCUCGUAGGCGGCUUGUCACGUCGGGUGUGAAAGCCCGGGGCUUAACCCCGGGUCUGCAUUCGAUACGGGCUAGCUAGAGUGUGGUAGGGGAGAUCGGAAUUCCUGGUGUAGCGGUGAAAUGCGCAGAUAUCAGGAGGAACACCGGUGGCGAAGGCGGGUCUCUGGGCAGUAACUGACGCUGAGGAGCGAAAGCGUGGGGAGCGAACAGA